rfam:Hordeum vulgare subsp. vulgare, WGS project CAJW01000000 data, contig: morex_contig_183929
AUGCUACUCCCUCCGUCCCAAAAUAAGUGUCUCAAAUUUGUACUAGCUCUAGUAUAAAUUUAUACUAAGCUUGAGACACUUAUUUUGGGACGGAGGGAGUACAUU